AGCAGGAUGGUGUAGUGGGAACAUGCGGGGCUCAUAUCCCCGUCGCCCUGGGUUCAAAUCCCAGUCCUGCAA
rnacentral:tRNA from 2 species